rnacentral:rRNA from 1 species
AAGUAUAUUAAGAAGGUACUUCAGAAGUUCGGGAUGGAAAAUGCUAAAGUUGUGAGUUGUCCACUAGCAGCCCAUUUCAAGUUGAGCAGAAAGCAAUGUCCUACCACUGAUGAGCAGAAAAAGGAAAUGCAUCAUGUUCCUUAUGCUUCAGCCGUUGGGAGUUUGAUGUAUGCUAUGGUGUGUACAAGGCCUGACAUUGCUCAUGCGGUUAGUACUGUGAGCAGAUUUAUGUCCAAUCCAGGAAGACCUCAUUGGGAAGCCGUGAAGUGGAUUUUGAGAUAUCUUCGGGGCAGCACAAUCUGA